CAGUAGCCGCGGUAAUGCGAAGGGGGCUAGCGUUGCUCGGAAUUACUGGGCGUAAAGGGAGCGUAGGCGGGUCGUUUAGUCAGAGGUGAAAUCCCGGGGCUCAACCUCGGAACUGCCUUUGAUACUGGCGACCUUGAGUAUGGGAGAGGUGAGUGGAACUCCGAGUGUAGAGGUGAAAUUCGUAGAUAUUCGGAAGAACACCAGUGGCGAAAGCGACUCACUGGCCCAUUACUGACGCUGAGGCUCGAAAGCGUGGGGAGCGAACAGGAUUAGAUACCCCAGUAGUCCCUGUCUCUUAUAC
rnacentral:rRNA from 1 species